GACUUGUCUAUUCAAUCAGAAAUAUUAAAAGCUGGGAAGGAGAUUUCAGAGCCAGGAUGACUGCACCCGAGACGUCUCAUCAUCCCCAGGCAGGUGAGAUGUGGUCAGGGGAAACCUUUAUUUUCCUUGCAUGUUGAUGCAUGAGAAUGGGGGCUCUUGAGUGGACCUCUGUGGUCCAAAGAGGGGGCUUCCCACAGAGGGGGCUACCCUGUGGUGGGAGUUGUCCACCGAGGAGAAUAGAAUAUAGAACAUUUUCUUAUUUGAUUAAACAUUUUUCUCCCUUAAUCAAAUACGGCUUCUUUUAAAAACAAAAAACCAGAAUGUUAACUAAUAUAGAUAUUGAAGAAUUUUUCAAUACCCUUUAAAAUAUAACUUGUUUUAGAGCAAGAUUUAAAGGAAAUCAUGCACCUCAGUGUAAAUCUUAAAGUAAGAUUUGACAGCUACUAGUUUCCUCCUCAUUUUCCUAUGUUGUUAAGAGUCCUUAGUUCUUCCUCUGAGCUGCAGUACCGCAGCUCAACAGCCUGAAAUCUCUACAGCCCUUACAGUUGUCUGUGUCUUUAGGAUGUCCUUGGACAAUCUCUAAGUGCUUUAUGUUAAUGCUAGGAAAGAAUUGAUUAGCGAUCUCUAAAUUCCAAGAAUUAGGAGGGCUCCUUUCCUCUCUUGGAUAGAUACAGGUUAGCUAUGUACCUUUUAUUUCCUAAAAUGGUGCUUUGUUUGCCCUUUCCAACUUCUCUUGUCCUGGGUCUUCCCUGUUGACUGACAGAGAGGAGAGUGACUCUACUGUGCCUCGAAAUCUCUGCCAGGACGAGAUUAGCCUUCUGCUCUUGGCUGGUUUCUGUUUCUUGUUGAAGAGCUUAGAAUUAAAAUAAAAAUCUCCACCUUGUCAUACUCUGUGCUAAAAACAAAUUUAAACCAAAGAGUGAAAAAGUGUUAAAUCCUGAUACAAUAGGCUUUUUUUUCCUCACAUUAAUCAUCAGGCUCGUUAUUUGCAUAUUUGGGAUCAAAAGCUCAGAAGUAGAGCACAUGAUUGGCAUGUGCAAGGUCCUGGGUUCGAUCCCUAGCACUGGAAAAAAAAAAAAGUUGUAAAGAUCAAAGUGUAGAUUUGUCAUUUUUUUUCAAAUCUACUUAGGAGUGUGUUUCAAACAUAGAAAGAAACUACUUUGAACUAUUGUAUGAGUUUUGAGAUUGGUGAAUACAAAUUGAAUUUUCUUCUCAUAGUUCAGUUGAUUUCAAUUCUACUAGUCAAUGAGGUUGUCUGAUUGCUAAAUCAGUGGAGAUCCACCAGCAUCGCACUCUAUUUUGCGAGAUGGUGAGUUGUUAGUUCACUGGAUGAGAGCAUAUUGAGGGCCUACUGUGCAUAGGCAGUGGCUGUGUGGUGUGAGCAGAUGGACACAGCCCGUGCAGUGGCAGGACUGAACCUAAGACCUUGACAUUGUUACCAUCCUAUUGGAGCCUUAGCAGAUGCACAGCUUUGAGGCUCACCUUUGGGAUCACUUCAUCAUGACCUAGUGCUGAAAAAUUAAUGAAUUACCUGUUUUACAGGAUGGUAGAAGGAGGGGAGAGGUGGGAAGAUUGGCCUUAGGUGACCUGUAUCCAAUUCUCUCCGUUGACUGGUGGGGGGGUCUGAAGCUCAGAGCAUUGGAAUGAGUUCCCAGAGUUCCUGGAACAGGGUCCUCCCUGGCUGGGCUGGGCCCUCAGGCUGUACACUGGCUCUUCUAUCUUAAUGGCUGGAAGACUUUUAUGGUUUGAUAUCUAUCGCCCUAGACCUGGAGCACCUGUGCUUCAUCAGAGAAGCUGCAUGUGACCCGUGGGCACCGGGCCAAGUGAUGGAGGGCUACUGGCCACGGAGCCGCCUGUCCCACUGUGGGCCUGGGGCCAUGACUUCUUAGAAUAGCUGAGGGGUAGGUCUCAAAGUCUCAGUUGACUACCUCAGUCCUUUCGUCCUUAGAAUACAACGUCCAAGGAAAUUUACCUAACAGCAGGAGUGAAUGCAACAUUGGCCAUGAACACUACCCAGCCCUGGCUACAGAAAUUGAGCAGUAGGAAGAGAACUUCUGGUUAAGUAUUCAGAGUGGACUAGCAUGGGGGAGCGGAAGGCAAGGUGGAUUGAAAUGUUAUUGCUUGUUUUUUAGACACGCAGUAGAUUUGAUUCAUGAAACCUGACCUUAAGGAAAAUUCUACCUUUGGCUGUGGUUGGACCGGUGACUUUUAAGGUUCUUUCUUAGUUCCAGAAACCCAGCAACGCCAUCUACCGCACACAGCCCUCUCUGUCUUUUCAUGGCCAAAACAUGAAUGAAGCUGUCUUUUAAUUCAGCCAAAACAUGUUUACUGGGGACCUGGUAGACACCAAGGCUUCUAGGCCAGUGGAUUUUAACUGUGGUCUCCUGACCAGCAGCAUCAGCCUCGCCCAGGAACAUGGGGGACACGCCACCCUCAGGCCCGCCUGGACCUGCUGGGCAGAAUCCAGGGCUGGGGCUCAGCAUCUGUGUCCACCAAGCCCUGGGGUCAUCCUGGCUCAGCCCCACGUGUGGAGAGCGACUGUCCUAGUGUGGGAGACGGGCACUGAACAAACCAAUGGGCACGGCUUCCAGACCUCCGCUCCUUCUUGGCAAGGAGAUGGAAUGUGCUGACACACAACGGCUUCAGAAAGGCCUCGGUCCAGCUUCGCCAGCCAAUGGAAACGAGGCCACCCUAGGGAAAUGACGAAGUCAUGUUUGGUGAGAUGUCACUCUGUCCUCUGAGGCUGGGCCACAUAUUAGGAGAUUCUGGAAUUGUUCAUCCAUGAGGUCACAUUUCAAUCUUACUGUGAACACACUGGAGAGCACUGAGGAGGAGUGCUUUCCUUUCCCCUGGCUCAUAACUACCGCCCAGGCAGGAUUUCGAUGCUCCAGGGUGAUGAUACUGCCUCCCCCAGCACCAGGCUGUGGCCGGAAGACUCUUCUACCCGUGCUGCCCAGAGCCUGGUCAGCCUUAUGUUCUGCCCUCCCUCUGUCCUUCUCUCCCUCCCUCCUUCUCCCCUCAGGCCUGGCGCUGAGGACACUAGGCUGCCCCCCUUAGAAGGAUCCCCAGGCCGGCGCCUGAGCUUCCACUCACACCGGGGCCUGAGUUUCUGCCCCCCACGACACCCCCACUUGUGUCCCCUGCAGGGAAAUCCCAGCGGCUCCGUCCUAACAGGUGAGGCAGAAAGGAUUUUUUUCCCAAGUGGAUGAGUGGUGAGCCCAC
rnacentral:lncRNA from 1 species